rnacentral:piRNA from 1 species
UAAUAGAUGUGCCCAGGGCAUAACUCAGUG